UACGUAGGGUGCGAGCGUUAAUCGGAAUUACUGGGCGUAAAGCGUGCGCAGGCGGUUCGUUGUGUCGGCGGUGAAAUCCCCGGGCUCAACCUGGGAAUGGCCGUUGAAACUGGCGAACUGGAGUGUGGCAGAGGGGGGUGGAAUUCCGCGUGUAGCAGUGAAAUGCGUAGAGAUGCGGAGGAACACCGAUGGCGAAGGCAGAUCUCUGGGCCGUAACUGACGCUGAGGAGCGAAAGCGUGGGGAGCGAACAGG
rnacentral:rRNA from 1 species